UUGAUUACUCCAUGCUUCAGAAUUCUGAACCGUCCUUUCCUCUCCUCUCAGUCCAUGGUCCCUCACUCUUCAGCAUCACCGAGACGCCCCUGAUCUUUUCCUUCUUCAUGAUCAUCAUCUCACUCUUCAUUCUUCCAUCUUUUUUUUUUCAACAUCAUCUUCAUCUUCUUAUCUUCUAUCUGUCUUGGUGAGAAGAAAAAAAUAAUUUGCUCCGAGCUUCUUUCUUCCUCUGCCAAAAAUAAUCUAGCUAUUUAAUUUUUUCCCUUUUUUUGAGCGAGAUGAGGAGUUUAGUUGUAGCUUUUUGAGCAAACUAAUGUUGUUUAUUUUUUUUUACAUUGCAAGAUAAAAGGCCUUCAGAUGUUUCUGCAUCUGCUUGGUCGUCUUCCUCUCCUCUUUUUCUCUCUUAUUAAAUUUUUUUUGGGUCAAAAACCUCUUCUUCUUUUCACCAUUUUUCUAUCUAUGCAUGUGAUAAGCAAGUGAUAGAGACAAAUCUGAAAUCCUUUUAGCUAUUGAAUCUGAACAUUUUGAGAUUUUUCUUUCAUUAAAUUUUCUGUUCAUGUUGUUUUCUCCUUUUACUUAUCUGAUCUGAACUUGACCUUUUUUUUUUUGUGAUUGCAGGUGGGAAAAGUUUGUAGAUUUCAUGUUUUUAUUUUGGUUUUCGGUAUUUGAAUCCUUAACAAGAAAAUAUUUGGUGCCUUCUUAGUUUUUGGGGUUUCUUUGACAAACAGCUAAUAGCACUGUUAUUACAGGGAUGGAUGGUAAUUUUUUUGGAAAAGGGUGUAACUUUCUGGCUGGAGUAUUACAGCAAUGAAAGCUAUAAAUAGACUAAUUUAUUUUAUUUCCAAUUGGGCUAUGAUGAUAUAAUUUUGGUUUCUUUAGAUGUAUUUAUGGUUUUAAAUUGAUUGCCAUAUCUUGGCGAGGCAACCCUGAUGGCAUUUGGCUUUCAUUCUCCCCUUGAAAUGCAAUUGGGUCUGCAGCCAUGGCGGUACUCUCAUCUCUGCCUGACUUUUGCCAAUAGACCUGAGCCUUACUUUAAAUUAUCAUAAUAACUGCUUAAUUUAAUUAAAGAUUUGAUCACUGAU